UACGAAGGGGGCUAGCGUUGUUCGGAAUUACUGGGCGUAAAGCGCACGUAGGCGGACUAUUAAGUCAGGGGUGAAAUCCCGGGGCUCAACCCCGGAACUGCCUUUGAUACUGGUAGUCUCGAGUCCGGAAGAGGUGAGUGGAAUUCCGAGCGUAGAGGUGAAAUUCGUAGAUAUUCGGAGGAACACCAGUGGCGAAGGCGGCUCACUGGUCCGGUACUGACGCUGAGGUGCGAAAGCGUGGGGAGCAAACAGG
rnacentral:rRNA from 1 species